CGGACCCCUUCUCUCACCACCUGGCUUCUUCCCUCCCUACACAGGUUUCUUCCCUUACCACUCAGGACUUCCCUUACCACCACAGACUUCUUCCCUCAUUGCCCUGGUUUCCCUCAACAGUUCCAGACUGCAACCAUCACUUUGAUGAGACUGGGACUCUCACCACCAAGACCACAAAAGGAGGAUCAACGAGAUGCCAUUGGAAUCCAUAGAAUGAAACCAAGAGGAGGAAAGAUCACAUGCCAGGAACACAAUUAAAUUCAGUCAACCAGUUAGAUGAUCAAUUAGACAACAUAGCAAGGUCGAACAGAUCAAUGGUUCUAUCUUCAAAUGAAAACAACAUUUGCAUCUUUAAGCUUCUUAUCUGUCAGGGACAGUUCCUAAUGGACAAAUACCUGUGUGGCAGCUGGAUCACCAAUGGCAUCUGCGGGUUGUUUUAGGAGUGGUGAAAGGAGUCACUGCAUUUACUAGGACUGAUCCACCACAGUCUCAGGAGAUCCUGUGAUAUGUGUGUUCUUCUCAGAAUCUAUAGAUCAUCUUACUUUGUGUGCAACUCAAAGUUUGCUGCUCUUAAAACUGAACUGAACUUGAAGUAGAAGGUCAGAAAGCAUAAAGGAGGAAGAGACUUCUUAGGAAAGACUGUUUCAGCAUGGAAUAAAAGUGUGUCUUGCAGUAUCAAAGGAUUUUAUUCCUUAAAAUAAAGAAGCAAGUCCUCAGGAAAGAGGAAAGUGCACUGCCACUUUCCAAGCUAUUUUCAGAAUGUGGAAAAGAAGGAUCCAUUCCAAGGGAAGAAAACCAGCUGGAGCCACAGCUGCACUUGCAGCAGAUGUCAAAGCCAUACUGCUCAUUGCCUUUAGGUGUGUAUGAAAAAUCCUAUUUACAUGGAGAAGCAAGACACUAAUAUGAUGGUGUCUGAGCUAUGGAAACU